rnacentral:misc_RNA from 1 species
AAGGAGCACUUCUCCACGACGCCCCGAAGAGUCGGGAGCUGUUGUGGCAGAGACCGUUUCGGAAGCAUUCGUCUUCCGGCGGAAGCUCAUGGGUGGAACGCUGGCAGGUUUCAUCGCAUCAUGGUUCCGGCCGAGUCCGGGAUCGCGGUGGAUAUAUCGACACACUGUUGGGUCCUGAAAGAACACGCGUUCUUUCUAGGAAAUCAAAACGAUCCGCCCGGAUCUCCAGUGAUACCGCGGGAAUUGAGUUUUCCGUCUGGUCUUGGGUCAAGGUUUGGGUGGGUGUGUUGUUUGAGAACUGCACAGUGGACGCGAGCAUCUUUGUUU